GUUGGGCAUGGUGGUGCAUGCCUGUGGUCCCAGCUACUCUGAAGGCUGAGGCAGGAGGAUUACUUGAGCCCAGGAGUUCAAGCCUGCAGUGAGCUGUGAUCAUGCCACUGCACUCCAGCCUGGGCAAUAGAGUGAGACCUUGUUUCUA
ensembl:misc_RNA Metazoa_SRP Metazoan signal recognition particle RNA